AGCCAUCAGAGAUCGAAUUCAAGAGAGCUUACGAGGGCAGCAGUCGGGAGAAAAAUAUCUGCUGGAAAAUGGUAAGGUGGACAGUGAUGAUGGACAAGAAUAUUACGAUGAGGAUGAUGACGAAGAAUACUAUGAUGAUGAAGAAUACUAUGACGAUGAAGAAUAUUAUCAAGAGGUAUACGGGAAAGAUGGGAACAAUGAGAACGAAAAGGAGAACGAAAAGGAGAAAAAGAAGGAUGAGAAAGAAACGAAUGAGAAAUUAAAGUAGUAGGUUGGUAUGG
rnacentral:lncRNA from 1 species